UGAAUCUUAAGGAUGGACAGUUGUUACAAU
rnacentral:piRNA from 1 species